GCCAGGCGUGGUGGCACAUGCCUAUAAUCCCAGCAACUUGGGAGGCUGAGAUAGGAGGAUUGCAGGUUCAAGGCCAGUCUCUGAAAAAAGUGAGAUGCUAAGCAACUCAGUGAGACCUUCUCUCUA
rnacentral:sRNA from 1 species